UUGGAGAAGCCCCCAAAAUUUUGGGACAUAUAAAAGAAGACAACUCUGUUCCGCAGAGUAGCUGUUGACAUUAUAGUUGCGAAGGCACUUUGUUGACUCUAGAGUACCUCAGGCCAAUUGCACAUCCCCGUGGCGGCGACUUUGCAUGCGGAUGUCAUCCAUAUCAACUUUCGAUGCCAGUUUCUGCUCUUACCAUGGUGACCACGGAUAACGGGAAUCAGGGUUCCAUUCUGUACAGGGACCCUGAAAAACGACUACCACAUGCAAGGAAGGCAGCAGGCGCGCAAAUGACCCACUCCCGACGCGGGAAGGUAGUGACGA